GCAGACAGGCUUUGCAAGUGCGCUGACAUUUGGAUCUGGCACAAAAGUCAUUCCAUGUCUACCAU